CCUACGGGAGGCAGCAGUGGGGAAUAUUGCUCAAUGGGGGAAACCCUGAUGCAGCAACGCCGCGUGAGUGAGGAAGUAUUUCGGUAUGGAAAGCUCUAUCAGUAGGGAAUAGAAAAGAAGGUACCUGAAAAAGAAGGCACGGCUAACUACGUGCCAGCAGCCGCGGUAAUACGUAGGGGGCAAGCGUUAUCCGGAUUUACUGGGUGUAAAGGGAGCGUAGACGGGAAGGCAAGUCAGAAGUGAAAACGCAAGGCUCAACCACAGGACUGCUGUUGAAACUGUCAAACUAGAGUACGGUAGAGGUAAGAGGAAUGCCUAGUGUAGCGGUGAAAUGCAUAGAUAUUAGGAGGAACACCAAUGGCGAAGGCGUCUUACUGGACCGAAACUGACGUUGAGGCUCGAAAGCGUGGGGAGCAAACAGGAUUAGAUACCCUUGUAGUC
rnacentral:rRNA from 1 species